rnacentral:misc_RNA from 1 species
GAAAUGCGAUAAUUAAUGUGAAUUGCAGAAUUCAGUGAAUCAUCGAGUCUUUGAACGCACAUUGCGCCCCAUGGUAUUCCGGGGGGCAUGCCUGUCCGAGCGUCAUUGCUGCCCUCAAGCACGGCUUGUGUGUUGGGCUUCCGUCCCUGGCAACGGGGACGGGCCCAAAAGGCAGUGGCGGCACCAUGUCUGGUCCUCGAGCGUAUGGGGCUUUGUCACCCGCUCCCGUAGGUCCAGCUGGCAGCUAGCCUCGCAACCAAUCUUUUUAACCAGGUUGACCUCGGAUCAGGUAGGGAUACCCGCUGAACUUAAGC